GGAAACCUGAGGAAGCCACAUGGAGCAGCAAAUUUGGGGUGCCCUAUAACACUGAGACCUCCUCACUGCUGUUCCAGCCCUUCAUCUUGUCCUCCUUUCAUCCCGGGCCUCCCUCUCCUGCUUGAGAACACUGGCUGUUUACAGAAGUCUCCACACACCAGGGCGGCGCUCAAGACCUCCUCUCCACCCUGCCCUCCACCUUCUUGCUUACUUCCAUCAGUCACAACUGUCAGGGGGCACAUUCCAGCUUCCGAGAUAAGAUGCACACUCACUCUCUACCCUGUCUUUAGUCUGUGUGGCUGGUUCCUUGCUUACAUGGACCUCCAAACAUGACAAGAUGGGAGCAUGUCAUCUGGAAAAGUCUAGAGGAAGUGUUAGCCAUGCCCCGUGGCCUGAGAGGAGACCAACGCUCAGGUGUGACCGAGAGUUAAAAUGGGUCACAAGAAGAGGGAGGUGGACGCUCCGGGGACAGAGAACCAGAAGACGCAGCUGCAGGUUGACUCUUCACCAAUUGAACAACUGAAUCCAUCUGGGCCGGUCUCUGAAUUCACCGGGAACAUCCUGAAGUAGGUGACAGUUGCACGCUCUGGGCUUAUCCAGUCUGUCAUCUGUUCCACACCCAGUAAAGAGAGGAGGUUCGCCAUUGUUCUAGAGCACAAUCGCUGUCUCACAGCUACUCUCCUUCCAAGUGAACUCAGUUACCUCAUCAGCAACGGUGAGGUGAAAAGAGCAGUAGCUUCGGAGCCAGUGAGAUAACGCACCAGCAAGUGCCAGCGAGCUUAGCCCGUGCCCGGCUGACGGAACACUGUCUUCAGCUUGACUCCAGGUUCUGCUGGGCUCAGAAACUUGGAUUUCCCACACCACCAGGAUGUUAGAUUUGUGUUAGUGCAUUGGCCUCCACACAUUUAACCAUACAGAACCCAGAAUGUGAGUUUUCCCAAGGAACGUAGUCUAGUAAGACAAUGACCCUAGGCUCUCUGUUUCUAGCUGUUGCCCUACUCACGUGGUCUGGGUCUGUUCGUUGUAGUGUGAAAGUAGAGACCACCUCAUGAAAGAAUGGAGAGGAAAUGGGGUUCUUCCUUUGAUCAUGUUUGGGUUUGAAUCUCAGCUACACUUAAUGGCAAACACAUUAAAACAGAGGUCCUUUUCUCUCAUACUCACUUUGAGUUACUACAUAUAUCAUAAAAUUACCCUUCCGAGUGUAAGGGUCAAAUGUUUUUAGUGUAUUCAGAGUUUUGCAGCCAUCACCACCAUCUAUUGUUUGGAUAUUUUCAUCACACUGCCCCCCCUCCCCCCGCCCCUGGCAAAAUCCCAUGGGGACUGGCAGUCGCUCUCCAAUUUGCUUUCUGACUCUAGAUACGCCUGUUCUGGACAUGUACGUAGUCACAGAAUAUGUGGUCUUUUGUGCUGGACUUCUUCCCCUUAGGAUGUUUUCAUAGUCCGCCCAUGUGGUUGAGGUAUCAGUACGUUAUUUUCUUUAGUGGUUGAGUAAUAUUCCAUUAUAUGGUAAUACCACAUUGUGUUUCAUUACCUCUUAAUGAACAUUUUGGCUCUUUCUAUGUUUUGGCUAAUCUAUAGUAUAUAAAGCACUUGAGCAUAUUCAUGUAUAUGGUGUUUUGUGGACCUGUGUUUUCAGUUCUCCUGGGUAUAGACCUAGGAAUAGAAUUGCUGGGUUAUAUGGUAAUUCCAUCUAACUUUUUGGGGGACUGCCAACUAUUUUCUGAAGCAGCUACAUGAUUUUAGAUCCGCACAAUGUAAGAGGAGUUCAAUUCCUCUUUCUUCUCACCAACAACUGUCUUGGAUUAUAGCCAUCAUAGUGAGUGUGAAGCGGUCUUUGUGUGUUUCUGAUUUGCAUUUCCUUGAUUGCUAAUAAUUUUAACCUAUUUUCAUGUGCUUAUUGCUCACUUGUGUUCUUGUGUAUCCUCAAAGUCUAUUUAAAUAAAUACUUUGCCUAUUUUUAAAUUGAGUUAUCUUUUUAUUAGUUUGUAAGAGUUUCUUUUAUGUUGUGGCUAUCAAUCUCUUACCUCAUAAAUGAUUUCCAAAGAUUUUCUCUACCUUGUGGUUUUUUAGUUUCUUGAU